GAUAAACGCAGCGCCAUUAUACUCUUGCACCAUUCUGAUAGAUUCGAUAUCUCCAUAAACGCUGAGACAAUCUCGCAGGUCCUCCUCAACGAGUGUCGUCCUGCUCAGUCGCUUGACGUAAAGCAUCUUCACGGUGGGAUCCUCUGGUGGACAUGCAGGCAUGUUACCGUUUUUCAUCAUGAACGCAACUAGUUCUGGAUUGUCUGAACUGUUAAAACAUGACAAAGAAAGAAUAAUUCAUCAUGUAUGUAUGUAUGUGAUGCAGAAACAUAUGUAUGCUCAAGAGAGUUUUUUGCAUUCACAAUCGAAAUCAGGCAGUGCAGAUAACCCAAAUCUCAUAAUCCAAUUCUUUUAGCUUCUAUAACAAUAUUCAAUUACUUUAUAUCAUCACUACCAACCAAACGCACAAAACCUGUAAAUCUAGCAGAAACAACAAAAGAAGAAAAAGAGGGAUUUGUGUCUGCUUGCAAUCUAUAUAUCCUUCAGCUGCUCCAAAUGUCAAAAUACAUCGUAAUUUAUAUAGCCCAUCCCUAUUCUAUUCACCCAUCAUUGGACCCAUACACGUAAGGAACACGGUGCUUAAGACUUGUGGGACUUGUGCGGAGCUGUGCUCACUUCGCACAAGCUCCACCAACAACGGGAAGAAAUUCGGUGCAUACCUCUUGAAUGAAUCUCUUUCCAGUCCCCUCAGUGUCUUCAACACUGUAACUACUAGCGGAGAUCUCGCUGCUGCUUCUUCCUUCGAUGCUGUUCCCAUGGGUAGAAUCCAGUUUUUAGGCUGCCUGGUCUCUUCCAACUCGGCACCUCCCUGAAACAACGUGCAUUUCAGGUACACCUUCAGUAUUUUCACACACACUGUGAUCAGUUCAGACUCUAUGUUUAGCUCCAAGGACACUCCUGGAUUGUAUGUCAGUAGGUCUUGGAGAACAUCCAGGUAGUUCUGGUGCGUGUCAUUUUCGAAAUGAAGCAUGGGAGGUUCGGAUAGCUCCAGGAUAGAGCAUGCCCUCCUCAGUUUCUUCUGCAGUAUCAAAUCAGAAUUUAGCUGGUGGGCGUGUGAUGACAACGAAGAGAGUAUAUCCAGUAUAACUGUGACGUGUGAUGCCAACAAUGACUGCUGAUGGAUUCGGCAGAGAUCAGUCACUACUUGAAAACAGGAGCAAAAAAAUAGACGAAUGAGAGAUGGAUGGCUUUAGAUCAAUUAUUCUGGAGCCAAUAUGGUAAAGUAAAACAUACAACAAUUUGUACAUACCUGAACAACUUGCAACUGGACGGUUAUGUGACUCUUUGUUCUUGAAACAACAUAAGACAUAAUUUGCAGGCUGUCCUCGUCCACAUCGUCUUCAUUACUAAAGUCCUGAUCAGACAAUGUUUCCUCAUCUGGAAUGUCAUCUACGAUUCUCAGUAUUUUUAUGAAGCUAGACAAUGUCAAUGAAGCAGCUUCUUUCACAGCCAAAAAAAUCUCCUUCCACUCAUCUUCUGAGAAACUGCCACCCAGUUCGUCCGCUAGCCACAGCAACGCACCCACUCCAGCUACUGUAGGACCCUGAGCUGGACUUCUUAUGAGACCAGCGAGUAAAGAUACUACACUUGAAAGUUGGGACCUUAUAACAGUAAAAAAGCUGACAAAUAGGUCCACCAGAGACUGUGCCGCCAUAGCUGAAGUUUCAGCAUCCCAAGAAGCUUCGUUAGGACGUGGAGAAAAUGUGGAUGGCGAUGAACUCUAUUCAUCUUUAGAAAGCAUAUCAUUCUCGCCCCACACACUGUUAAAUAUAGGAUAGAUAACAUAACUGAAAACGCCCAUCCAGAAUGUUCGUGAAAACAGAUGCCCAUGAUCGUUUAAAAUAUUAAAGAGCACUUCCAAGGAGCUUUUAUGAAUUGCUGAUCUCGAAUCAGAAGUUAGUUUAGACAAUCCUGUGACAACAAUAAAAAAAAUUUGAUUAGAAUACAGGGAACUGUUCUUUCCUAACUUCCAAGCAAAUCAAUAUCAACCAAGUUGAAAGAAUUAUCAAUGAAAUAUGUGAAUACGAAAAUUGUAAGGUGCCCAGAAAUAUCUGUGAUGCAUUUCAAUCGAGAUUUUAUUCACAGAUUAAGAAAAUAUAUCAGAUUACCUAUGAGCAAAGGAACCCAAUAUGAUAUGUUCUCAUCUGCUUCCAUAAAAUUUUGGGAAGUUGGUGUAUGAUCAUCUGUGACUGGAGUACCGGGACUGCUAGACCUACCCUUCUCAUUCCACACAAGGCCUCCCUCUGCAAGUUUUAGAGCACAAAACCGUAGGAACGCGAUAGCAUUCAGGCUAACAUCGCUCGUAAACUUACUGUUUGUGAAAGUUAUAAGGCAUCUAACACAAUCAGUAAAAGUUGUUGCCUCCGUCUCUGUGAUAUAUGAAAAAUACUCUCGGACAAUUUUUUCCAUUGUCUCAAAGGCCAACAAUACAAUGUUCUUCCUUUCAUCAGCUGCUGCAAUUGUGAAAACCUGAAAGGUAAUUGACCACUCAUUAAAACAUGUCGACCACUAGAGCAUGUCUUCGAAUAUGAACUUAGACAAACAGAUAAACUACUUAGCACAAUAUCUCGGAUUUGUGAAGCAAACUUGGAGUGUUUGAUAGAGGAGAGACCCCAAAAGCAGGCUCACCAGCUUUCCAAAAGUAACGAGCGUCUGUUGAUGCAGGGAAUAUCUCAGGCUUACUAGUCUUAUCUCUAGCGUCCUUCACAGCCUUUUCCAAGAUCCUCCAAAACGGAUUUGAAUCAUCUGCUGCUGUAAGGACAUGUUGCGCGAUGCAGGUGCCCAUGCCCAUUCCGGAUGAAUCAAAGUUCACAAUUUUGUUUUCAAGGUUCCGAUUACAUUUGAGGGCAAUCUAGCUAAAAGUGCGGUUCAAUAUUUAAAGAAUGAUGAUCAGAUUCUUAUUUUUGGGAAGCUGAUUGAGCUACACAAAUAGCUUCACAUAAAUAAGAAUCCAAUCAUCUUUCUUUAAAUGUUGAGCCGCACUUUUAGCUAUUGCCAUCAAAUGUAAUCGGAACCUGAAAACAAAUUUUUGAACUUUGAUUCAUCUGGAAAAUUACCUUCAUUGAGCACUAGUGCUAUUGUUCCGCUCGAAGUGAUAGUCUAGACUGGUCUGCGUUGUUGAUAGAGCUGAGCCACGAGAUGCAAAAGCUACAAAGCUUUCAGUAAAGAUUGAAUCAACAAAGGUUGUGCAACUCUAAGAUGUAAUGAUAUGUAUUGAACCAACAUCAUUCAUAUAGGGAAGGAUUCAUUUGAGAUUAUUGUAAUGUGACAUAUAUGCCCAUAUCCUAUAAAGAAAAUUAUAAGAAUGAUUAUUGUUUUACCUUUAGCUUAGAAUCCUUGGAGAAGACAAAGCUAAAUCUGAUAGCAUGGCCUGGCUCAAACAACCAUCCUACUGAAAAUACCCUUUCUCCGUCGUUGCUUUCUUGAUGUGAGCAUCACAGUACCAAUCACUUUCUUGCCAGUAACUUGUUGAAUACAACCCUGAACAUUCUCACAAUCAUAAACCACCUAAUCAAUCAUUGAAUGGUUGUAUACACUGGAAUCAGAGGACUGAAAGCUAGUAGAACUCUCCAAGAACCGGUUACAACUGAAGCUGCUGUGGUAGGUGUAGAGGCAAAGGUAGAGCUACGAGCUGAUCACCAUCCUGAAGGGACCAUCCCAAUAACACCUCCGUCUCUGCUAAGUUGAUAACCCUCACACGAGACACCUUGUCGUUUGGAUUGAUGAGACAAUGCUCAACCUCUAGCUGGUUACUAUUGUUCUUCCCCAGAGGCCACACAGCAACAUAGGAGCCAAUGAAAGAAUACGAAUAGGCUAACGCAGAACCAAUGCUCCUCUCGUCAAUGCAGUAACGAGUGGCUGCAUCAUCAGGCUGAGCAAGAGUGGGACACUGCGUUUGCCAAUCGAACACCUUCACUUCCCAUUCUCUAUAAGCUUCUGGAACCACUGAUAGUUCAAUCGGUUUCCCUUCCCGUGAAAAAUCUGCUCCGAAACCGUCCCAUUCGCCAGAAACAUUUUGAGCGAAAUCAGACAAGGCUACACAAACAGAGACACUGUUAAUUCUCCGGGGAGGCUCAAUCAAAAUCAGGAAUCGAGGGAGAGGUAUAGAGCUUACGAUUGUAAUCAGAGGAAGGCUGGCUCUGCGCGAGGGCAACAUUCGAGGAGAUUUCAGCUGAGCAAGAAAUAGGGGAAAUUCUGGUUCUGUUCAUCAUAAACACUAAAAUGGAAGAGAAGGGAGAGACGAGAGAUUUGAAAGAAGGCGGAGGUCGAGACGGUGGUAUGGGUGUACGGUUCCUCCAUAAGAGGGAGUUUCCGGCGGAAUAUAACAUCGGAGCCGUCGUCAUUUGAUCUCAGAAAAAGAGUGAUCGUGUUUUAAAGGGAGAUAAAGUGUUUUUUAGGCUCAUAAUAGGCGGCCCAAAAUCUUUAUUUGGCCCAAACAUAUUAAACCGGGUCCGUACAAAUUAAUUAAAAAUCCGGCUAUUGGGACACGGUUCGCACACGGUUUAGACACGGUUUGGCACACAAAUCGAGGUCGAUUUAUGUGGAUUAUCAUGUAAAACGGGGCCUGUUUUGCGUGGGUCCGUUUUUCGUUGACCCGUGUCCGUUUUGCGUUGACCCGUGUUGACUUUGACUUUUUUCCAAACCGUCUCUGAUUUUAUAAAGAUAUAGCCCAUUUUGGGCGGUCCAAAACCUAAUUUGGCCUACGCAUAUUAAACCGUAUCGGUAUAAAAGCGGUUAAAAUUAGGCUAUUUGGACACCGUUCAACCGGUUUUUUUUUUCCAGGCAUCGGAAAAUGCGUCACCGGCGAUUCUGUGAGCUUUAUCUUCCGCCAUUUCCUCUCGAAUUUAGUAAUGAUGGCUUCGGAAAUUGAUCGGGUUUCAAGUUUCUUGCUUCUCCGAAAAGGAUUAAUCAAAAAUCGGGAGAGAUAUUGAGCUUACGAUUGAACUCAAAGCAAGAGAGCUAUGAAGGGAUAAGUGCCAGGGUGGCUGUAGAAUCGAUGAUAGACAAAACGCAUAGAGAUAUUCCAAGAAAACACUCUAUAGAUAGGAUAGGCUCUUGUCGAAGAUAGGAUAGAGGUAGCGGCAUCGAAAUAUCUCUAUAUUAAAUAAAGAGAGAACAAAUGCGAGUGCGGCAUCGAAAUAUCUCUAUGCAGUGACAACACCAUGUUGGUUGGAGGAAAUGGUAGUGUAUCGAUGAGGCUGGUACUGGUAAACCCACAAAAUUCUCAGCUUGUGACCCUUGAUCUCAACCCAAGUUUUGAGAUCUUCCAUGCAUUUCUCUGCUGCCUCUCAAACAGUCGUGAAUCGGAUCUGAUCUUUUUGUUUCCUGACUCUUGCACCAUUCUGAUAGAUUCGAUAUCUCCAUAAGCGCUGAGACAGUCUCGCAGGUCCUCCUCAACGAGUGUCGUCCUGCUCAGUCGCUUGACGUAAAGCAUCUUCACGGUGGGAUCCUCUGGUGGACAUGCAGGCAUGUUACCGUUUUUCAUCAUGAACGCAACUAGUUCUGGAUUGUCAGAACUGUUAAAACAUGACAAAGAAAGAAGAAUUCAUCAUGUAUGUAUGUAUGUGAUGCAGAAACAUAU
rnacentral:lncRNA from 1 species